rnacentral:rRNA from 1 species
GAUGAACGCUAGCGGCAGGCCUAACACAUGCAAGUCGAGGGAUAAGCCUUCGGGCUAAGACCGGCGCACGGGGGCGUAACGCGUAUACAAUCUGCCUUUUAUCCGGGGGAUAGCCCGAAGAAAUUUGGAUUAAUACCCUAUGGUAUAAGAGCACGGCAUCGUGCACUUAUUAAAUCUACGGCGGUAAAAGAUGAGUAUGCGUUCUAUUAGCUAGUUGGAGAGGUAACGGCUCCCCAAGGCGACGAUAGAUAGGGGUUCUGAGAGGGAUGUCCCCCACACUGGUACUGAGAUACGGACCAGACCCCUACGGGAGGCAGCAGUGAGGAAUAUUGGACAAUGGUCGGAAGACUGAUCCAGCCAUGCCGCGUGCAGGAUGACGGCCCUAUGGGUUGUAAACUGCUUUUGUAAGGGAAGAAUAAGGAGUACGUGUACUUUGAUGACGGUACCUUACGAAUAAGCAUCGGCUAACUCCGUG